rnacentral:rRNA from 1 species
CUACGGGUGGCUGCAGUGGGGAAUAUUGGACAAUGGGGGAAACCCUGAUCCAGCAAUGCCGCGUGUGUGAAGAAGGCCUGCGGGUUGUAAAGCACUUUCGGUUGGGAGGACUGCUUCUAGCACUAAUAUUGUUGGAAGUUGACGUUACCUUCAGGAGAAGCACCGGCUAACUCCGUGCCAGCAGCCGCGGUAAUACGGAGGGUGCAAGCGUUAAUCGGAAUUACUGGGCGUAAAGCGCGCGUAGGCGGCUAGAUCAGUCGGGUGUGAAAGCCCCGGGCUUAACCUGGGAACUGCAUCCGAUACUGUCUAGCUUGAGUACAGGAGAGGAGAGUGGAAUUCCACAUGUAGCGGUGAAAUGCGUAGAUAUGUGGAGGAACACCAAUGGCGAAGGCAGCUCUCUGGCCUGAUACUGACGCUGAGGUGCGAAAGCGUGGGAAGCAAACAGGAUUAGAUACCCCCGUAGUC